CAGUAGCCGCGGGAAUACAGAGGAUGCAAGCGUUAUCCGGAAUCAUUGGGUUUAAAGGGUCCGUAGGCGGUUUAGUAAGUCAGUGGUGAAAGCCCAUCGCUCAACGGUGGAACGGCCAUUGAUACUGCUGAACUUGAAUUAUUAGGAAGUAACUAGAAUAUGUAGUGUAGCGGUGAAAUGCUUAGAGAUUACAUGGAAUACCAAUUGCGAAGGCAGGUUACUACUAAUUGAUUGACGCUGAUGGACGAAAGCGUGGGGAGCGAACAGGAUUAGAUACCCCAGUAGUCCCUGUCUCUUAUAC
rnacentral:rRNA from 1 species